CCUACGGGAGGCAGCAGUGAGGAAUAUUGGUCAAUGGGCGCGAGCCUGAACCAGCAAAGUCGCGUGAAGGAUGACUGCCCUACGGGUUGUAAACUUUUUUUAUCAAGGAAUAAAGUGAGGCACGUGUGCCUUUUUGAACGUACUUUAUGAAUAAGGAUCGGCUAACUCCGUGCCGGCAGCCGCGGUAAUACGGAGGAUCCGCGCGUUAUCCGGAUUUAUUGGGUUUAAAGGGAGCGUAGAUGGGUUGUUAAGUCAGUUGUGAAAGUUUGCGGCUCAACCGUAAAAUUGCAAUUGAUACUGUCAGUCUUGAGUACAGGUGAGGUAGGCGGAAUUCGGUGUGUAGCGGUGAAAUGCUUAGAUAUAACGAAGAACACCGAUUGCGAAGGCAGCUUACUAAACUGCCACUGACAUUGAUGCUCGAAAGUGUGGGUAUCAAACAGGAUUAGAUACCCUGGUAGUC
rnacentral:rRNA from 1 species